AUACGGAGGAUGCGAGCGUUAUCCGGAUUUAUUGGGUUUAAAGGGUGCGUAGGCGGCCUUGUAAGUCAGCGGUGAAAUUUUGCAGCUUAACUGUAAAAGUGCCGUUGAUGCUGUGAGGCUAGGAUUUGGUUGCUGUGGGUGGAAUGUGUGGUGUAGCGGUGAAAUGCUUAGAGAUCACACAGAAUAUCGAUUGCGAAGGCAGCUCACAAAGCCAAUAUUGACGCUGAGGCACGAAAGUGUGGGGAUCAAACAGGAUUAGAUACCCUGGUAGUCCACACUGUAAACGAUGAUAACUCGCUGUCGGCGAUAUACAGUCGGUGGCCAAGCGAAAGCGAUAAGUUAUCCACCUGGGGAGUACGACCGCAAGGUUGAAACUCAAAUGAAUUGGCGGGG
rnacentral:rRNA from 1 species